rnacentral:rRNA from 1 species
GUGCACCAGGCGCGAAUCCUUCGCAAUGCGGGAAACCGCGACGAGGGGACUCCCAGUGCCUACGCUCAGCGUAGGCUGUUCCCGAGCCUAGAAAGCUCGGGGAGUAAGGGCUGGGUAAGACGGGUGCCAGCCGCCGCGGUAAUACCCGCAGCCCGAGUGGUGGCCACUAUUAUUGGGCCUAAAGCGUCCGUAGCCGGCCCGGUAAAUGCCUGGGUAAAUCGUGAGGCCUAACCUCACGAAUUCCGGGUAGACUGCCGGGGCUAGGGGACCGGAGGAGGGAGAGGGGUACUCCAGGGGUAGGGGUGAAAUCCUGUAAUCCCUGGAGGACCACCGGUGGCGAAGGCGCUCUCCUAGGACGGGUCCGACGGUGAGGGACGAAAGCCAGGGGAGCGAACCGGAUUAGAUACCCCUGUAGU